CGCGGCGUAGAGCAGUUGGUAGCUCGUCGGGCACAUACACCCGAAGGUCAUUGGUUCGAGUCCAAUCGCCGCAACCC
rnacentral:tRNA from 1 species